CGACUUCACCCCAGUCAUGAAUCACAAAGUGGUAAGCGCCCUCCCGAAGGUUAAGCUACCUACUUCUUUUGCAACCCACUCCCAUGGUGUGACGGGCGGUGUGUACAAGGCCCGGGAACGUAUUCACCGUAGCAUUCUGAUCUACGAUUACUAGCGAUUCCGACUUCAUGGAGUCGAGUUGCAGACUCCAAUCCGGACUACGACGUACUUUAUGAGGUCCGCUUGCUCUCGCGAGGUCGCUUCUCUUUGUAUACGCCAUUGUAGCACGUGUGUAGCCCUACUCGUAAGGGCCAUGAUGACUUGACGUCAUCCCCACCUUCCUCCAGUUUAUCACUGGCAGUCUCCUUUGAGUUCCCGGCCGAACCGCUGGCAACAAAGGAUAAGGGUUGCGCUCGUUGCGGGACUUAACCCAACAUUUCACAACACGAGCUGACGACAGCCAUGCAGCACCUGUCUCAGAGUUCCCGAAGGCACCAAUCCAUCUCUGGAAAGUUCUCUGGAUGUCAAGAGUAGGUAAGGUUCUUCGCGUUGCAUCGAAUUAAACCACAUGCUCCACCGCUUGUGCGGGCCCCCGUCAAUUCAUUUGAGUUUUAACCUUGCGGCCGUACUCCCCAGGCGGUCGAUUUAACGCGUUAGCUCCGGAAGCCACGCCUCAAGGGCACAACCUCCAAAUCGACAUCGUUUACAGCGUGGACUACCAGGGUAUCUAAUCCUGUUUGCUCCCCACGCUUUCGCACCUGAGCGUCAGUCUUCGUCCAGGGGGCCGCCUUCGCCACCGGUAUUCCUCCAGAUCUCUACGCAUUUCACCGCUACACCUGGAAUUCUACCCCCCUCUACGAGACUCUAGCUUGCCAGUUUCAAAUGCAGUUCCCAGGUUGAGCCCGGGGAUUUCACAUCUGACUUAACAAACCGCCUGCGUGCGCUUUACGCCCAGUAAUUCCGAUUAACGCUUGCACCUCCGUAUUACCGCGGCUGCUGGCACGGAGUUAGCCGGUGCUUCUUCUGCGAGUAACGUCAAUUGACGAACGUAUUAAGCUCACCACCUUCCUCCUCGCUGAAAGUGCUUUACAACCCGAAGGCCUUCUUCACACACGCGGCAUGGCUGCAUCAGGCUUGCGCCCAUUGUGCAAUAUCCCCACUGCUGCCUCCCGUAGGAGUCUGGACCGUGUCUCAGUUCCAGUGUGGCUGGUCAUC
rnacentral:rRNA from 1 species